rnacentral:RNase_P_RNA from 1 species
UGAGUGGUUUGGGCAAUCGCGUGUUUUCCACGAGGAACUUCCGGACUACGUAGAACGGCGUGGUUGUUAACAGCAACCGAGAGUGAUCUUAGGGAAAGUGCCACAGAAACUAUACCGCUCUUGAUGCGUGGGUGCGGUGUUGGUGCGGUGCGUGCGCAGAACUGGAGUAAGGGUGAAAAGAGUUGAGGUAAGAGCUCACAGCACACAUGGUGACAUGUUCUGGUAGUAGAAUUUAUGUGAAUGGUAAACCCCACGCGUAGCAAGGUCAAGUAGAAUUUAGGGUUGUUCGCUCAAUAAAUUCGGGUAGACUGCUUGAGUCUACGAGCAAUUGUAGACCUAGAUAGAUGAUUGCCACCAAUUAUGGUACAGAAUCCGGAGUAUAGAACAACUCAUCCA